rnacentral:rRNA from 1 species
GACGAACGCUGGCGGCGUGCUUAACACAUGCAAGUCGAACGGAAAGGCCCUGCUUUUGUGGGGUGCUCGAGUGGCGAACGGGUGAGUAACACGUGAGUAACCUGCCCUUGACUUUGGGAUAACUUCAGGAAACUGGGGCUAAUACCGGAUAGGAGCUCCUGCUGCAUGGUGGGGGUUGGAAAGUUUCGGCGGUUGGGGAUGGACUCGCGGCUUAUCAGCUAGUUGGUGGGGUAGUGGCUUACCAAGGCUUUGACGGGUAGCCGGCCUGAGAGGUUGACCGGCCACAUUGGGACUGAGAUACGGCCCAGACUCCUACGGGAGGCAGCAGUGGGGAAUAUUGCACAAUGGGCGGAAGCCUGAUGCAGCAACGCCGCGUGCGGGAUGACGGCCUUCGGGUUGUAAACCGCUUUCGCCUGUGACGAAGCGUGAGUGACGGUAAUGGGUAAAGAAGCACCGGCUAACUACGUG